rnacentral:rRNA from 1 species
GCUAAACGCUGGCGGCGUGUCUUAGCCAUGCAAGUCGAGCGGACUUAUGGGGGUAACUUAUAAGUCAGCGGCGGACGGCGGAGUAACACGUAGCUAACCUACCCUCUGGACGGGGAUAACCUACCGAAAGGUGGGCUAAUACCCGAUGUAGUCAUCCUGUAUAGGGGUGAUGAAAGGUGGGCUUCUGUUUACAAGCUCAUGCUGGAGGAGGGGGCUGCGGCCUAUCAGGUAGUUGGUAGGGUAAUAGCCUACCAAGCCGAUGACGGGUAGCCGGCCUGAGAGGGUGACCGGCCCGAGGGGCACUGAGAUACGGGUCCCACUCCUACGGGAGGCAGCAGGCUAGAAAUUUGGGCAAUGGGGGAAACCCUGACCCAGUGACGCCGCGUGCAGGAAGGAGCCCUUCGGGGUGUAAACUGCUGUCGUGUAGGGAGAAGGGUACUAAGGUGAACAAUCUUAGUACUUGACGGUACUACAGGAGGAAGCCCAGGCUAACCUCGUGCCAGCAGCCGCGGUAAGAUAGCGUACU